rnacentral:tRNA from 1 species
GCGGUUAUGGUUUAGUGGUAUAAUUCUCGCUUAGGGUGCGAGAGGUCCCAGGUUCGAGCCCUGGUAACCGCC